rnacentral:misc_RNA from 1 species
AGAAAAUUCACUAAUCACUGAAAUGAAAACUAGCUAGCUGCAUUGGGUCCAGACCACGUUACUCCAAGACGAGGUUUAGUGGAGGCGGAGACUUUUGUUUUCGCUGUCUUAGGUACGAAUUUGGAGCAGCUUUUUUGGCCAUUAAUUGACCCACCAACGUUAGCCUCUACUGCCUGUAUGUGUACUAACCACUCCAUAAUCAUCUGGG